CCCUUAGAUGUUCUGGGCCGCACGCGCGCUACACUGAUGCAUUCAAAAAGCCUAGCCUUGACCGAGAGGUCCGGGUAAUCUUUGAAACUGCAUCGUGAUGGGGCUAGAUUAUUGCAAUUAUUAAUCUUCAACGAGGAAUGCCUAGUAAGCGUGAUUCAUCAAAUCGCGUUGAUUACGUCCCUGCCCUUUGUACACACCGCCCGUCGCUCCUACCGAUUGAAUGUGUUGGUGAGGAGCUCGGAUUGGCAGCAGUUGGUGGUUCGCCACCGGCUAUUGCUGAGAAGUCCUCCAAACCGCCCCAUUUAGAGGAAGGAGAAGUCGUAACA
rnacentral:rRNA from 1 species